rnacentral:rRNA from 1 species
UACGUAGGGCGCAAGCGUUGUCCGGAAUUAUUGGGCGUAAAGAGCUCGUAGGCGGCUUGUCACGUCGGGUGUGAAAGCCCGGGGCUUAACCCCGGGUCUGCAUUCGAUACGGGCUAGCUAGAGUGUGGUAGGGGAGAGUCGGAAUUCCUGGUGUAGCGGUGAAAUGCGCAGAUAUCAGGAGGAACACCAGCGGCGAAGGCGGCGCUCUGGGCUGGCACUGACACUGAGGAGCGAAAGCGUGGGGGAGCGAACAGG